UGAAUCUCUCGGCCUCGCACCAGAGGAGCUGGAGCGUAAGAUAUCAGACGCUAUAGCUACGGUAACAUGUGAAGGGGAUAAAGACAGCGAAAUGGAGAAAAUCCAUAACUUUGACUGCAAAUGCUACGGAAGAAGAAAGGACAACUCUGUCAUUGGGACACAUUCAUGCAGCGACAAACUUUCUCCAGAGCCUAUGUACAGCAUACGGUUGGAUUCUCUAGCUGCCGAAAGAGAGUGGCAGGACAUGCGAAUAAUUGGACAUCUCGAGGCAAACAGACGCACAGUAGUUACUUCGGACAUGACUACAUCCACCAAAAAGCCCCAGAUGAAGAGAAAGCGCCCCCGGACCCCUUAUUCCAUCGGAGGCAAUGAAGUCUGCAGGAAUACUUUUCAGUUUCUUAUGGGAAUUGGCGAAGACACCCUGACUGAUAUAAUCAAACACUUUGAGGAGAAUGGGGCAAGACCACGGUUAAGGAAGAAGCACUCACAGCCACGGCCAGCCAGGUUCAUCAGCCGCAGCAUUAUCAACGGAGUUGUGGAAUUUAUAAAAAACUAUGCAGAAGACAAUGCCAUCAUGCUGCCUGGCCGACACCCUGGGCAUAGGGAUUGGCAUGUGAAGUUGCUGCCAACCCAUGUGUCUAAGGCCUCAGUUUGACGUCUCUACGUGAAGUCUGCUAAGGAGCUUG
rnacentral:lncRNA from 15 species